GAGGGUAUAGCUCAAGUGGUAGAGCACAUGCUUAGCAUGCAUGAGGUUCAAUUCCCAGUACCUCCU
rnacentral:tRNA from 1 species